rnacentral:rRNA from 1 species
AUUGAACGCUGGCGGAAUGCUUUACACAUGCAAGUCGAACGGCAGCACGGACUUCGGUCUGGUGGCGAGUGGCGAACGGGUGAGUAAUGUAUCGGAACGUGCCCAGUCGUGGGGGAUAACGUAGUGAAAAUUACGCUAAUACCGCAUACGAUCUAUGGAUGAAAGCGGGGGAUCGCAAGACCUCGCGCGAUUGGAGCGGCCGAUAUCAGAUUAGGUAGUUGGUGGGGUAAAGGCCCACCAAGCCAACGAUCUGUAGCUGGUCUGAGAGGACGACCAGCCACACUGGAACUGGGACACGGUCCAGAAUCCUACGGGAGGCAGCAGUGGGGAAUUUUGGACAAUGGGCGAAAGCCUGAUCCAGCCAUUCCGCGUGCAGGAUGAAGGCCCUCGGGUUGUAAACUGCUUUUGUACAGAACGAAAAGGUUUCUACUAAUACUAGGAGCUCAUGACGGUACUGUAAGAAUAAGCACCGGCUAACUACGUGCCAGCCGCCGCUGUAA